UGUCUGACAUACCUUGGUGACUGUUAACGCUGAUAUAUAUUUAAGGGCUUUUACGAUGGCAAAAAUUUCUGCUGUAAAGAUGGAUACAGCGUGGAAGCGAAAGACCUCAGAGUGACCAUUUUUCGGAUCCAGAAGGGCACAUCCCGCUUUACUUUCUAGCAGUCAAUCAUCAGUAAAGAUAUAGCAUUGAUUCGGAAAGAGUUCUUCGAGAUGAUAUUGGACAUAGAGGCGAGGUGGAAGAACAACUCCAAGAUAUUUCUAUUGACUUAAAAUUUCAGUGCUAAGGAUGUUGCGCAUGGUAUGGAACUUAUUGACGAAGGACAUUCCAUCAGGUAUGCGGCUAUUGCCAUCAAUGUCUCCUACGAAACUCUGCGAAAGGCUGUUAGACGUUUUCGAAAAACUGGGUCCUACCAUAGAAGGUCCGGUUCAGGAGCCCUAAGGUAACAGAACCGCAGGAUGACCUUUUUUUGACUGAGAAUUUUGCAAAAACGGCAACUUGUUGUUCAAUCGAUUCAUCAGCUCCAGGAAGUUCGACGUGUCCAAAUUUCUGAACGCUUUGCUCGAAGAAGUGUGGACUGAUGGUUUUUCGCCCCGUAAGAGGACCAGAAUUGACCAGAAUACACCGAGUUGUACGGCUCGCAUUUG